GUCUUUGCAUAUAUUACAAUUUGAUUAAAUUUUAAUCUUAAAACUCCUCUUUGAGGUAGGUGUUGUAAUUGUCAUUUUAUAUGUAAACAAAUAGAGAAUCAAAACUGAUGAAUAAUUUACCCAGGAUGACACAGUUAAUAGAUUGGCAGAGCUGAGAUUAGUACCCGAUUCCAAAGUUCAUCUCACAAACCAAGAACUGCCAUUUUUCAAGUGUGUAUUUAGAGAAAUGAAAGAAAAUUGUUGGAGUGCCUAUAAGAGCUCUCUUUAAUCAGCAGCUAUGUAGUUAUCCCAGAGGAUUUAAGUUUGAUGAAGAGUAUAAUGAUGUGAACAUAUGGAUAUGGAAGACAAGAGAUAUAGAGAUGAACACGUGCAGUUCAUAUUCAGAUAUGCAAAGGAACCUCAUCAGUCUAGAUUCGUCUGAGCUCGGUUGUGACAGUCUGGACCUUCCUGCAAGCUGUAAGUAUAAUUACAUACACUAACUAUUCUCCAAUCCUUUAAAGUUGCAAAUAUGCACUUUUUGUCCAGGUACUGACAUCUUUGAGCAGCCCUCUUCAGUGUGCUCAACCCAGCCUCUUCACUUAGUUCACUGGGUUCCAGGAAGAAUCAGAGUCUCAUAAAGAAUGCUGCCUCUGAUCAUUUAAUUCCAGGCUGAGCAGGGUAAAAUCAGUUUGAACUUCACCAACAUUUGCAGUCUAUGAAAGCAAAAUUCAAAGUGUUGGCAUAAUUAACUGUAUUAAUUGGAUAGAAUCUGACGAUGAGGAACCAAAUACGUUAAAAAGAGGGGAGAUAAGAGUUGAUUUUUUUUUUUUAAUUGAGGGCUUCCCUGGUGACUCAGUGGUAAUGAGCCUGCCUGCCAAUACAGGUACAAUCCCUGAUCUGAGAAGAUCGCAAAUGCCUCGGAGCACCUAAACCCCUGUACCGCAAGUAUUGAGCCCUUCUCUGGAGCCUGGGAGCCACAAGUACUGAGCCCACAUGCAGCAGCUACUGAAGUCCCAGGGCCGUAGAGCCCCAUGGCUCUGCAAUGAGAAGCCAGCACACCACAACUAGAGAGAAGUCCCCGUUUGCCACACCUAGAGGACAGCUUCCGCAGCAAAGAGAACCAGUGCAGCCAAAUAAAUAAUUUUUUUUAAUAACUAAAUUAAAAAAUUUAGAUAGCAAAUGAUUUGCUUGCCCAAAAAUGGUCCGUGGAGGUGUAAGCAUCAAAAAGCACCUCCAGUGUUCUGCUUUCACCAAAAACACGGAAGGAAUUUCCUAGAAAUGGUCAGGAUGUAAUUAUGGAAAAAAUCCUCUUCAGACCUUUAUAUGCUCAAUCAUUGCCAGACAGGGUGCUAAACAUGGGAGAUAUAAUAGGAGCAUGGUCCUGACCCUCUUGCUCAGAGAAGUACAUCAGCUGUCCUGUACAGUAAAUGUGAAAGGAAUCACGAAAUAAAUAUAAAAAGGACACAGUGGGUGCCCAAAGGAGUGGUCAUCUCUGUGAUUCUAAUAAAGUGAAUUCAUAGCAAUCAUGUAAGGUUGUUCAGUGAGAUAGCAAACUCUCCCAUGAAAAGGUGAAGCAGAACCUGAAUGAACAGAUAAACAGGAGUCAAGGAACAAGAAAAGGGGUUUUGAAGAAGCAAUCAGUUCACAGCAGUCCUAAGACGUGAAUGAUCUGGUAAGUGUUCUCCAUCUUUAAUAUCUAGGAUACGAAUUUCACAAAGCAGAACUGCUGCUCUACGUCGUCAACUCCCCCCUCCCCCACUCUCCGUCGCCACCCCCCUAACGGAUACAUCAGGUGAGCAGGGCUCAAUUAUUCGAAUUAAAUGUGUGACCUGGAGCAACUCCCGUCACUACUCAGAGCCUCAGUGUCUUUGCCUGAGAAGUGAGGAACCCUGUCCGCUCUAGUCCAUUUCUGCUCUGAAUUGAGAACAGUACAAGAAACCAGAAAGGAAAACUCCAGAGAAACAAAAGUGAAAGUGCCCAAAGGAAAUACAAUAGUAAACAAAAGCACAAAAUUCUCUAUCUCACUGAAAAAUGUGGCAGAGUUCCAAAAUACUUUUUUUCAGCAGCCCGUGAACACGAGACUUGGGAGAGAAUGAACUAUCACGCCCUCUGAAUGUGAAUGACAUGAGUGUAACGCGAAUCCACCUUGCUCCAUGCAACCGUCUUCUUAAACAAUGCUCCGUGACCCCGAACAACCAUUUAUUAAGAUUUUCUUUCUAAAUAAGUCAAUCCACGAGGAAAGGUCGGUCCCCUCCUGACAAACCCCUCGGAACACCACACAAGGGUGUGUUCCGCUUCGGGAUGAGAGAGAAAAGGGGGUAAAGAAAGAGAGGAAGGAAAGAUUCAAACUGAUAUUAGAUUCUGCCUAGUGUUGCCACGCGGUUGUUGUGCACAACAGCAGGGAUGCAAACUAUUUUAAAACUUGGGAAAUACGGUAGCCUUUAAAUUUGAUCGUUUCUUCCUUCAUGUUAGUGAGACUUCUUUGCACCUAACCCAGAAAGGUACACCCGCCUGGGAGCGAGAGCGCGAGCUCUGGGGUGGACCAGCAAGUGGAGGCUGCCAGAAUGGACCAAGCUGACAGCUUCGCAGAGCGUUGGCUGAGGGUGUGGGACCGCGACCCGCAAUCGCCAAGGCUAGAGGGGUCGAUCUGGACCAACCGAUGUCAGAGGGCUCCCUAGGUGGGAGGAUGCUCCGGACCCGCCCCGGGAGCCUCCCUUCUCCGAACAGAAGGAAGGGCGCUCAAACGCGUGCACACUCAAACACACACACAAACACAAACAUCCUUCCCGUGGAGUUGUGUCUCGUCUCCCUUUUGUUUUUCUCCCUUCCCGGUCAAGAGACCCGGAAGUUUUUUUUUUUUUUUUAAAUCCAGUCUCUCUCUUUUCCAACCCCCACCCCCCCUCAUCUAUCACAUGGCAGAGAUAGAAUAAAAACAGAAAAAUGGCGACGGUCACGUUGUGGCGAGCACGUUGCCAGCUGCCACCUUCUUGGAGAAGGACCACACCUGUGCUUAUUCCUCGCUUUGGAGGAGAGAUGUAGGAAUAGAAGCUCUGAGUGGUGGACUCUGCAGGAGAGGACUGUGCUUGUGUUUCCGCACCAGCCCAAGGCUCUAGAAGUGGAGAACUUGAGGAAGUGGGACUGAUGGGGACGCUUUUCCCCUCUGGGAGAGCAGAGAGAGCUCGUUCCUUGUAAAGUUGCCCCAUGAGAAAAAGUUCAGCACAGAACAAAUUAAAUUCUCAUUUCCCAAGACUCUCCAUCAGAGUGGUAACAGCAGAAGGACGGUGCUGCAGCGGUCUCUGGGAAGAGAGGGCCGAUUAAAGGGAGCUUGUGGAUCUCCUCGACUUGCAGGCUCUGUGGAGGGAGCACACUUCAUAAAUCCUGAUGGACUGAUUUUUGGCUACAUCCUCAGAUUUGUACGAAGAACUGUUUUGAGUGAAUCAGUGUGUCUUUGUUUGCAUCUUCUGGAAUCCUGAAGACUGAGCCAAGGAGUUAGCAAGGCUGAGCCCUGUACUGAGCAUUUAAUCAGUUGAACACUUCCUUAUGUUUCCCUGGUUUGUGCUCAUAACAAGUGACCUUCGUCCAACUCCUCGCAACACACGAUUGUGGAAUGUUCCCUCCUGAGGAACAUGCUUUGUUUUUUUCAUUGUGAACACACUGAAAAUCUCUGAAAAUUCAAAUGAGUUUGGACAGUGGUAAUAAUGUAAGCUAACUGUACCUGCUGUGUGCCCAGUAUUCUACAUAUGUAUUAUGUUCUGCAUAUGUAUUCAGUUAGUGUUUACAUGCUAACUGUUCCAACAGCCCUGGUCAAAUGGGGGCGGGGGCAGGGGAACUAAGGCUUAGAAAAAUGUGGUCACUUACCUGAGUUAACUUGUUCAAGCCUCAGCUUCUGCAUCCUUAUAUUUACUGCAGAUUCAUAUCAGCAUCCUUGUACAAGUGAGGCAGUGCUAGAACCCCAAAGUCAUAAUAUUUUCAUUGAUUCCUUUCUUCUACCUGUAAACACUGUUGGGACCUUUUGGUUUUGAUUUUGAAUACACAUUACCUAUUCAAUAAUUCAGGAGUGGAAUGAUGCACAUGUAAUUCUGAGUCCUGAGAAUUCAGAAGCCCCCAUGGUAAUAAAAAGCUAACAUUGAUUAAAGACUUUCUGCAUCACCUGUCCAUGCAGUAAUUUUUACCCUCAUUCUCUUACUUAAUCCUUUAACAGAAACCACCUCCUUCUCCGUAUCCCUAUGUCUGCUUUCUUUUGUUUUUUAAAUUUUAAAAUAAAAAGAAAUGUUUUUUAAAAUCUCUAUAUUUUAUAUUGGUGCAUAGUUUUUUUUUUAAUAACAUUUUUGUGGGCUGCAAGGUUUGCAGGAUCUUAAUACCCCAACCAGAGAUCAAACCCAGGCCCCAGGGGAAGCAUGGAGUCCUAACCACUAGACCACAGGGAAUUCCUG
ensembl:lncRNA